AUGUUUAGAGAUGAGGGGGAGACUCCACCCAAAGUGGGGUAUGAAUACCACCACAUAUCACUGAGUUCCCUGCUUAGCAGGAAGGAUGUCAUGUUUAGAGAUGAGGAGGAGACUCCACCCAAAGUGGGGUAUGAAUACCACCACAUAUCACUUAGUUCCCUGCUUAGCAGGAAGGAUGUCAUGUUUAGAGAUGAGGAGGAGACUCCACCCAAAGUGGGGUAUGAAUACCACCACAUAUCACUUAGUUCCCUGCUUAGCAGGAAGGAUGUCAUGUUUAGAGAUGAGGGGGAGACUCAACCCAAAGUGGGGUAUGAAUACCACCACAUAUCACUUAGUUCCCUGCUUAGCAGGAAGGAUGUCAUGUUUAGAGAUGAGGAGGAGACUCCACCCAAAGUGGGGUAUGAAUACCACCACAUAUCACUGAGUUCCCUGCUUAGCAGGAAGGAUGUCAUGUUUAGAGAUGAGGAGGAGACUCCACCCAAAGUGGGGUAUGAAUACCACCACAUAUCACUUAGUUCCCUGCUUAGCAGGAAGGAUGUCAUGUUUAGAGAUGAGGGUGAGACUCAAACCAAAGUGGGGUAUGAAUACCACCACAUAUCACUUAGUUCCCUGCUUAGCAGGAAGGAUGUCAUGUUUAGAGAUGGGGAGGAGACUCCACCCAAAGUGGGGUAUGAAUACCACCACAUAUCACUUAGUUCCCUGCUUAGCAGGAAGGAUGUCAUGUUUAGAGAUGAGGAGGAGACUCCACCCAAAGUGGGGUAUGAAUACCACCACAUAUCACUUAGUUCCCUGCUUAGCAGGAAGGAUGUCAUGUUUAGAGAUGGGGAGGAGACUCCACCCAAAGUGGGGUAUGAAUACCACCACAUAUCACUUAGUUCCCUGCUUAGCAGGAAGGAUGUCAUGUUUAGAGAUGAGGAGGAGACUCCACCCAAAGUGGGGUAUGAAUACCACCACGGGGGCAUCCAUUUCUUUUGUCUGAAUAUACAGCUGUGUCGAACACUUUGGGGAGAAUUAAACUUGGUUAGGCUUCUCUAG
rnacentral:lncRNA from 1 species